rnacentral:rRNA from 1 species
GACGAACGCUGGCGGCGUGCUUAACACAUGCAAGUCGAACGGAAAGGCCCUGCUUUUGUGGGGUGCUCGAGUGGCGAACGGGUGAGUAACACGUGAGUAACCUGCCCUUGACUUUGGGAUAACUUCAGGAAAAUGGGGCUAAUACCGGAUAGGAGCUCCUGCUGCAUGGUGGGGGUUGGAAAGUUUCGGCGGUUGGGGAUGGACUCGCGGCUUAUCAGCUUGUUGGUGGGGUAGUGGCUUACCAAGGCUUUGACGGGUAGCCGGCCUGAGAGGGUGACCGGCCACAUUGGGACUGAGGUACGGCCCAGAGUCCUACGGGAGGCAGCAGUGGGGAAUAUUGCACAAUGGGCGGAAGCCUGAUGCAGCAACGCCGCGUGCGGGAUGACGGCCUUCGGGUUGUAAACCGCUUUCGCCUGUGACGAAGCGUGAGUGACGGUAAUGUGUAAAGAAGCACCGGCUAACUACGUG